rnacentral:misc_RNA from 1 species
GAUGAAGAACGUAGCGAAAUGCGAUAAGUAAUGUGAGUUGCAGAAUUCAGUGAAUCAUCGAAUCUUUGAACGCACAUUGCGCCCGCCAGCACUCUGGCGGGCAUGCCUGUCCGAGCGUCAUUUCAACCCUCGCGCCGUCCCUCCAGGGGGCUCGGCGCGGUGUUGGGGGACACGGCCCCGGCCGCCCCCGAAAUGCAGUGGCGACCCCGCCGCGGCCCCUCCAGCGCAGUAAGCACGCUCGCUACGGGAGGCCCGGUGGACGCGUCCGCCGUAAAACGCCCAACUCUUCAGAAGUUGACCUCGGAUCAGGUAGGGAUACCCGCUGAACUUAAGCAUAUCAAUAAGCGGAGGA